rnacentral:rRNA from 1 species
UAGGGAAUCUUCCGCAAUGGGCGAAAGCCUGACGGAGCAACGCCGCGUGAGUGAUGAAGGUCUUCGGAUCGUAAAACUCUGUUAUUAGGGAAGAACAAAUGUGUAAGUAACUAUGCACGUCUUGACGGUACCUAAUCAGAAAGCCACGGCUAACUACGUGCCAGCAGCCGCGGUAAUACGUAGGUGGCAAGCGUUAUCCGGAAUUAUUGGGCGUAAAGCGCGCGUAGGCGGUUUUUUAAGUCUGAUGUGAAAGCCCACGGCUCAACCGUGGAGGGGCAUUGGAAACUGGAAAACUUGAGUGCAGAAGAGGAAAGUGGAAUUCCAUGUGUAGCGGUGAAAUGCGCAGAGAGAUGGAGGAACACCAGUGGCGAAGGCGACUUACUAGUCUGUAACUGACGCUGAUGUGCGAAAGCGUGGUGAUCAAACAGG